rnacentral:lncRNA from 1 species
AAAGAAUACCACUGAUCACAGCACCAACACAGAACCACCAGAAUCAGAAAAAACUUGGUCAGAGUCUGUGACACCCGAGAAACCUACUUUAGAAACUUGGUCAGAGUCUG